rnacentral:rRNA from 1 species
UACGGAGGGUGCAAACGUUGCUCGGAAUCAUUGGGCGUAAAGCGCACGUAGGCGGCCUGAUAAGUCGGGUGUGAAAGCCUUGGGCUCAACCCAGGAAGUGCACUCGAAACUGUCAGGCUUGAAUAUGGAAGAGGGUCGCGGAAUUCCCGGUGUAGAGGUGAAAUGCGCAGAUAUCAGGAGGAACACCGGUGGCGAAGGCGGGUCUCUGGGCCGAAAUUGACGCUGAGGAGCGAAAGCGUGGGGAGCAAACAGG